AGAAUUCCAUAGCAUUGAGUCAUGGCAGUUAAAGUGGUGUCAAACUGGAUUAUUUCCGCAUUGCGGAUGCAGCCAUGGUCAGGGUUGAGAGCAAGUCAAGUCAAGUCAUGUGACUUGAAGUGUUUGCUUCUGGUGUGAGAGAAUCAUUGAUGAUUGUCAAAUGAGCCCCUUCCCUAUCUCUGCUUACCCCCAGGGCUACCAAAAGCAGCUAUCAUCACCCACAGGAAAGCAUUACAGGCAAUCAACUUAUUCUGGCUGUGUGGGGUCCAUGCCAAUGAUAUCAUUUACAUCCCUCUCCCAUUGUACCAUGGAGCCGGAUUAACUGGGAUUGCAUCAUGCAUCGACACUGGAGCUACAUGUGUCCUGACACCUAAAUUUUCUGUUACUAAGUACUGGGAUGACUGCAGACAAUACCAUGUCACUGUAGUCCAGUAUAUAGGAGAAAUUAUGCGCUACGUUUGUAAUGCACCAAAG